rnacentral:rRNA from 1 species
UGGGGAAUAUUGCGCAAUGGGGGGAACCCUGACGCAGCCAUGCCGCGUGAAUGAAGAAGGCCUUAGGGUUGUAAAGUUCUUUCGGUAUUGAGGAAGGUUGAUGUGUUAAUAGCACAUCAAAUUGACGUUAAAUACAGAAGAAGCACCGGCUAACUCCGUGCCAGCAGCCGCGGUAAUACGGAGGGUGCGAGCGUUAAUCGGAAUAACUGGGCGUAAAGGGCACGCAGGCGGUCAUUUAAGUGAGGUGUGAAAGCCCUGGGCUUAACCUAGGAAUUGCAUUUCAGACUGGGUAACUAGAGUACUUUAGGGAGGGGUAGAAUUCCACGUGUAGCGGUGAAAUGCGUAGAGAUGUGGAGGAAUACCGAAGGCGAAGGCAGCCCCUUGGGAAUGUACUGACGCUCAUGUGCGAAAGCGUGGGGAGCAAACAGGAUUAGAUACCCUGGUAGUCCACGCUGUAAACGCUGUCGAUUUGGGGGUUGGGGUUUAACUCUGGCGCCCGUAGCUAACGUGAUAAAUCGACCGCCUGGGGAGUACGGCCGCAAGGUUA